rnacentral:rRNA from 1 species
AUUGAACGCUGGCGGCAGGCUUAACACAUGCAAGUCGAACGAAGUGGCGAACGGGUGAGUGACGCGUAAUCAACCUGCCCAUCAGAGGGGGACAACAGUUGGAAACGAGUGAUAAUACCGCAUACGGAAGGUGGAGAUUGCGUCUGAUUAGAUAGUUGGGGGGGUAACGGCCCACCAAGGCGAUGAUCAGUAGCCGGUCUGAGAGGAGGAACCGCCACCAUGGGAAUGGGACACGGCCCAGACUCCUAAGGGAGGCAGCAGGUGGGAAUCUUCCGGAAUGGACGAAAGUUCGACGGGGCAAAGGCGCGGUGGGGAUGACGGCUUUCCGGUUGUAAAGCCCUGUUAAUCGGGACGCGGUACCGGAAUAGAAAGCCACGGCUAACUACGUGCCAGCAGCCGCGGUAAUAC